rnacentral:rRNA from 1 species
UACAGAGGGGGCAAGCGUUGUUCGGAAUUACUGGGCGUAAAGGGCGCGUAGGCGGCCUGCUAAGUCGAACGUGAAAUCCCCGAGCUCAACUCGGGAACUGCGUCCGAUACUGGCAGGCUUGAAUCCGGGAGAGGGAUGCGGAAUUCCAGGUGUAGCGGUGAAAUGCGUAGAUAUCUGGAGGAACACCGGUGGCGAAGGCGGCAUCCUGGACCGAGAUUGACGCUGAGGCGCGAAAGCCAGGGGAGCAAACGGG